CCCCAGAACCCGCUCCAGACCGGAGCCGGAGACGUUCUGCUCCAGAACCCGCUCCAGACCGGACCCGGGGGCGUUCUGCUCCAGAACCCGCUCCAGACCGGAUCCUGCUCUCUCUGCGCCGCCCCUGCAGCUUGUCCUUCUCAGAUGUUCCAGAAAUAAGUUCUUUGACUGUUCUCCUUCACUGCUUGUUUGGACUUUCGGGGGUUCUCCCAGGGUUCUCCAGCAGAGAACAUGCUGACCUCUCCAUGUUCCUCCUGUUCCACCAGCACUGAGAGGAGGCGUGGUACCUCCUCAGGACUGUUGUGCACGUUCUAAAACGUUCUGCUGAACUCUGAACUCGUCCUGUUCAGUCCCUGAUUGAAUGGACGGGAGGUUCUUCCAUAAGUUCUUCUGUUCCCUGCAGAACAUCCACGAACAUCACGAAUAAACCAACUAAAACAGAUGUUUGCUUCUGGAGUUUGUUCUCAACUUCUGUCAUGUUCUGUCAGGUUCUGCUGUGUUCUGCCUCUUGGUUCUGUAAGGUUCUGCCUGUUGGUUCUGUUGUGUUCUGCCUCUUGGUUCUGUUGUGUUCUGCCUCUUGGUUCUGUAAGGUUCUGCCUCUUGGUUCUGUAAGGUUCUGCCUCUUGGUUCUGUUGUGUUCUGCCUCUUGGUUCUGUUGUGUUCUGCCUCUUGGUUCUGUAAGGUUCUGCCUCUUGGUUCCACUGUGUUCUGACAGGUUCUGUUGUUCUGCUUUGUUCUGCCGGAGAACUCCAUGUAUUUGAAGAUCCUGAAAUGUUCUUCCACAUUAAAACACAAAUCAGAAACGGGGUGAAGCUUCAGAACUGCAGAGAGUCCAUGACCCUUGACCCCUGCUGGACUCCCAGGCUGUCAGGGUCAUUUAAAUGAUCCACUGGGAUCAAGAAGGUCGUUUUCUUCCUGCCACUAAAGCAGAGGAGAGACUACAGUCCUCCAGGGUGUC